rnacentral:lncRNA from 1 species
GCUAGUUUGGGUCAAAUGUGAAAACCUUCCAUGUCUUUCUCCAGAGAAGGGAAUUACCAGCCUCCUCCUCUCCUGCCCUUCUCCCUCCACCCAGCAUCUAAAAGUCAUUACUAGGCUGAGUGGAUACAGCAUCAUGGAAGCAGGUGCACAGCAUGAGCCCUGCCUCCUAGGACAAGGGGUGAGCUGCAAAACCAGGGGCACGUGGCCAGAGGGGCCUCAGGCCUUGACUCAGCCUCCUCGAGGCAGGGAGGUCAAGCUUCAGGCCUUGAAGACAAGUGAGUGACCAUUCUUUUCAAGGUAAAACCAUUCACUUUUGGGAACUGUCUUCUCUUAAAGGCACAGAUGGUCUGUUCCUUUUUUUCAGGCCUGAAAAAAAAAGUACCUCACAAAAGAUGCAUACCACUCAGUCAUACCCUUUCCGGUAAGAUUACAGUAUUCGCGUUCGAGUAUCACGAUUUUUUUCUGCACUGUAUGGUGAAAAGAACUAUGUUAAUAGCUGUAUCUUAAAUACUGUGAUUUGAGGGGUUUUUAAAAUGCUAAUAUAAAUAUUUUACUAACUUACAAUCAUGCAUCUAAUAACAAACGUUCGGGUUCUUUUGAAAUCAGUGUUAAUUGAUGUAUGCUCUUAAUAGCCUGGCUCUGGGACCUAUAGGAAACACAAAGGAAGCUGAAAUGUCGCAACUAAAAUGCAACUGCACACACACACACACACACACACACACACACACGUCAAAGCUUUUCAUCUCUCCUGAGCCACGUAGAACUGUUUUUCACUGUACAAAUCUGUUUCAUUCAUCACACUUCACCGGCAAGCAGCACAGCGAGCCCAUCUCAUCAUUUCUACCGGCAAGGCCGCCUUAGGCCCAGGUCAGAAGUCAAUGUUGCACACAGCAGGGUCUCACCGAAGACCCUGACCCCUUCCUGCAUAGUAAGUAGCCAUCUGCUCUUCAGGAAGUUACUGCCUGUGGGUUUUUACCAAAGACUUUUCAAUUUGAAAAAUGCUUUCAGAAAUGAUUUGCACCAGCUGGUUCUCUGGCAGCCUCCACACGGCCCAACCUGAAGCAUAAAACAGAAACCACAGACUCCGAGCAGUUCCAAAGGAGAUCUUCGUGAGCAGGCUCUGGUGUCCUCUGGGCAGGGGGCAUCCAGGGCCUCGGGAAGCAGGGGUGUGCAGAGAAGAGCAAUGGCAUCUUCCUCAUCACGUUAACUGAUAGUAGUUCCAGGCAAUUAGAAAAUGGCUAUAAAGUAACUUUAAUUUUUAAAAAAUCUUAUUCAUUUUCCCACUAGGAGAUUGAACUGAUCAUAUAUAUUGAUUUAUAUCCUGAAUUUGGGGGAACUCAUAUGUUUGGAAUGUCC